rnacentral:rRNA from 1 species
UACAGAGGGUGCGAGCGUUAAUCGGAAUUACUGGGCGUAAAGCGUGCGUAGACGGUUAUUUAAGUCGGGUGUGAAAGCCCCGGGCUCAACCUGGGAAUUGCAUACGAGACUGAAUAGCUAGGGUACGGUAGAGGGAAGCGGAAUUUCCGGUGUAGCGGUGAAAUGCGUAGAUAUCGGAAGGAACAUCAGUGGCGAAAGCGGCUUCCUGGACCAGUACCGACGUUCAGGCACGAAAGCGUGGGGAGCAAACAGG